UACGUAGGGGGCAAGCGUUGUCCGGAUUUAUUGGGCGUAAAGAGCUCGUAGGCGGUGUGUCACGUCGGCCGUGAAAACCUGGGGCUUAACUCUGGGCGUGCGGUCGAUACGGGCAUCACUAGAGUUCGGCAGGGGAGACUGGAAUUCCUGGUGUAGCGGUGAAAUGCGCAGAUAUCAGGAGGAACACCGGUGGCGAAGGCGGGGUCUCUGGGGCCGAUACUGACGUGAGGAGCGAAAAGCAUGGGUAGCGAACAGG
rnacentral:rRNA from 1 species